GGCACGGAUCGUGGCUCACAUUAUCAAUCACUGGAUUAUCUGGUCAGGACUCAAAUCAUAUACAGACCGACACUAUGUCAGUGUUCAAAAACAAGACAGUUUUGUGUUCAGCUGACGAUGUGCGGCCAUGUUGUUCAGCUGACGAGGUGCGGCCGUCUUGUUCAGCUGACGAGGUGUGGCCAUGUUGUUCGGCUGACGAGGUGUGGCCGUCUUCCUUCCAGUGAGAGGGGAGUGACAGC